rnacentral:lncRNA from 12 species
GUUUGGAGAGCCAGUCUGUCCACAGCACAGUUAACAGUUGCUGAAAGCCAUGGGAUGAACUCUGUAGCCUACAUGGUUAUUAUAGGUUGAGGUAUUCAUCUAAACCAAUACUGACAGAAAUGAACUGGAACUGGUAUAUCUCCGGGACACAAAUCCACAUUUGUUCUCUUGUCUUGCAUUAUUCUUGAUGAAGAGAGUUCUACCCCUGUGGCUGAAACCCAGAGUACCUUAGUUUUGCCUGUAACUGGUGCAGAGACUGUGUGCUAUACUGGAAAGCUUAAACAAUGUGUCAGGUAUUGAAUUCAUAUCUUAAAUCCACUUUCCAUCAAUAAUAUACUUUUAUUUUGAACGACAUCAUCCAAUAUCCAUUACUUCAUGGGUUCUGAUUUGGAGAGGGGAAGAAAGAGAUAGUAUUGAAUACUGACUGCAGUUAUGAAUAUUCCAGCUACU